GACGAACGCUGGCGGCGUGCUUAACACAUGCAAGUCGAACGGAAAGGCCCCAGCUUGCUGGGGUACUCGAGUGGCGAACGGGUGAGUAACACGUGGGUGAUCUGCCCUGCACUCUGGAUAAGCCUGGGAAACUGGGUCUAAUACCGGAUAGGACCGUGCUUUAGUGUGUGCGGUGGAAAGUUUUUCGGUGCAGGAUGAGCCCGCGGCCUAUCAGCUUGUUGGUGGGGUAAUGGCCUACCAAGGCGGCGACGGGUAGCCGGCCUGAGAGGGUGUACGGCCACAUUGGGACUGAGACACGGCCCAGACUCCUACGGGAGGCAGCAGUGGGGAAUAUUGCACAAUGGGCGCAAGCCUGAUGCAGCGACGCCGCGUGGGGGAUGACGGCCUUCGGGUUGUAAACCCCUUUCGGCAGGGACGAAGCUUUUGUGACGGUACCUGCAUAAGAAGCACCGGCUAACUACGU
rnacentral:rRNA from 1 species